rnacentral:rRNA from 1 species
UACGGGGGGGGCUAGCGUUGUUCGGAUUUACUGGGCGUAAAGCGCGUGUAGGCGGACUUGUAAGUUGGGGGUGAAAUCCCGAGGCUCAACCUCGGAACUGCCUCCAAAACUACAAGUCUGGAGCAAGAUAGAGGCAAGUGGAAUUGCGAGUGUAGAGGUGAAAUUCGUAGAUAUUCGCAGGAACACCAGUGGCGAAGGCGACUUGCUGGAUCUUUGCUGACGCUGAGACGCGAAAGCGUGGGGAGCAAACAGG